rnacentral:lncRNA from 1 species
AUCUUCAACCUCAUUUGCAAAAAAAGAGUCAUUUGCUUUUUUCUUUCUUUAAAAUUGUUUUCAAAGAUUUAAAAUUCUAUUUUUGAGUAACGAAUUCACAUACUUCAAAGAUCCAAAUGGAUAAAAGAAGACGCACAGGGAAUUUGUGCUCAUGUCCCCAUCUGUCAUGGCAUAACUCUAACACAUCUUUAAUCAUUCUUGCAGCCCUACUAUCCACACCUUUGUGGAAUACCCUCCUUGAGUGUGGGCAGAAUUUGCUUAACCGGAUCCCGAGCAGCUCACUUUCUGGGGCACCCAUUUCUGUCUUCACUCUCUGCCCGGCAGAAGAGGCGACUCAGGUAUACUGUUCCAUCACCAGCAUUACUUGGCUAAUCCUUGAUUUGACAGAGCCUGUUAUAUGGACUGGAUGUCUGUAUCCCCAAGUUCAUAUGUUGAAGCCCUGACCCCAUGUGGAGGUAUCUGGAGGUGGGGCCUUCUGGGAAGGAAUUAGGGUUAGAGGGGCCAUGAGGGUGGUGCUCCCAAGAGGGGAUUAGAGUCCUUCUGUAAAGAGAUACCAGGAAGCUUGCUCUCCAACUCUCUGCCACGAGAGGACACAGGACAAGGGAGCUUGUGUGCAAGCCAGAAGGGUGGCUCUCCCCAGGCACUGGAUCAGCUGGCACCUUGUUCUUGGACGUCAGACUCCCAGCGUGGAAGUUACUCCCAAAGGAGCGUCACUUUGGCUGUUAAAUGUUUUACCUCUUGGUCUUUGUUUCAGAUCCCUUCUAGAAGAAAGCCCACAGGAGGGCAGAGGGAAGGAGGCAAGGGGAGAAGGCAGAAGAACCGGGUGCCAAGCACCCGAAGCAAACUAGUUUAGCCCACCCUUCACUGAAUUAAAUGGCCUGUGGCUGCCCCAUAACACUGGGGUGUUAAAACUUAAAACUGUGGCUCUCAGACAAACCCGCUCUCUGCCUCUUUUUGUAAGGCCCACACCAAGAAUGGUUUGUUUUUUAACAUCUUCAAAGAGUUGAAGAAAAAUGACAGCCACACUGAUGGUACGUGGCAAAGUCGAAAAUAUUUACUAUCUGGCCCAUUUACGGAAAAACUCUUC